GAGCGACUGCGGACGACAUUACUGAGUGAGGGCCCUCUGGGUCCAACCUCCCACCCGUGUUUAUUGUACCUUGUUGCUUCGGUGCGCCCGCCUCACGGCCGCCGGGGGGCUUCUGCCCCCGGGUCCGCGCGCACCGGAGACACCAUUGAACUCUGUCUGAAGAUUGCAGUCUGAGCAUAAACUAAAUAAGUUAAAACUUUCAACAACGGAUCUCUUGGUUCCGGCAUCGAUGAAGAACGCAGCGAAAUGCGAUAACUAAUGUGAAUUGCAGAAUUCAGUGAAUCAUCGAGUCUUUGAACGCACAUUGCGCCCCCUGGUAUUCCGGGGGGCAUGCCUGUCCGAGCGUCAUUGCUGCCCUCAAGCACGGCUUGUGUGUUGGGCUCCGUCCCCCCGGGGACGGGCCCGAAAGGCAGCGGCGGCACCGAGUCCGGUCCUCGAGCGUAUGGGGCUUUGUCACCCGCUCUGUAGGCCCGGCCGGCGCCAGCCGACAACCCAUCAUCCUUUUCAGGUUGACCUCGGAUCAGGUAGGGAUACCCGCUGAACUUAAGCAUAUCAUAAACCCGAGAGAGAA
rnacentral:rRNA from 1 species